rnacentral:antisense_RNA from 1 species
CUUAAUGGUGGUUGUGCGCAGGGCGCCCUUGGGCGCGCCGGUUUUGCCAAUUCCUCCGGUCUACUAACCUGCGUACAGCCGCCACCUUC